CCCGCGGGGACGGCCGUAGGGGUGCGGCGCGGUGGGACGCGGGGACGGCCGCGGGGACCUCCGCGGGGGUGUGCGGCGUCGGGUGGCUGCGUGGGGCGCGGAGAUGGGGACGUGGGGCUGCGGCACCGCGGGGAUGGGGGGCGCGCUGGGGGGGGCCCACCUGGUGAGCAGCAGCACGACGCUGUACAGCGCCGGGAGCUCAGCGCGCGCCACGGCCGAGCCCACGGGCGGGGGGACACUGCGGGACAGACACACGCGUGGGUCACACUGCGCCACGCCGGGCGGCUCCCGCAGCGUCACCAUCUCAGCCCGACGCACUGUCAGUCACACUGCAUCCGGCGUGUCACACACCGACACGCUGCCACGCUCACACACUGCCACACACUCAUACACUGUCACACAACGUCACACAACGUCACACAGUGUCACACAACAUCAAAGGAAAUCGCCCACAUCACAGCGUCACACAGCACAGUGUCAGUGUCACAGUAUCACGCCGUGUCACAUAGCAUCACAUGGUGUCACUGUGUUGCUCUGUCACACCCCAUCACAUCACACCCCAUCACAUCACACCCCAUCACACCACGUCACGGUGCCGCAGCCCCACACAGCACCGCGGUGUCACCCACUGCCGCGCGGUGGCACAGUGUGCCGUUGCGGUGCCACCCACCUGCUGGCCAACGCCACCACCUGCACUGCGUCCCCCAGCUCAGCCUCGUGGGGCACAUCCAUGGUGACAGCGAACACGAGCUGGGGGGCACAAGAUGUGGGGCUCAGCCCCGUAGCACUCCAUGGAGCCUCCACAGAGAGUCCCACGGAGCCCCACGGAACCCACAGCACCCCACAGAGUCCCAGAAAGCUCUGUAGAGCCCCAUAAAGCACAUCCUGCCCCACAGAGCCCAUGGAGUCUCAUAGCUCCCCAUAGAACCCCGUAGCACCCCACGGAGCCCUUAGAGCCUCAUAAACUGCCAUAGGGCCCACAGCACCCGUAGCUCUCCACAGCAUCUCAUAGGGCCCCCUAGAAUCCCAUACCAUCCCAUAGUGCCUAACAGAGCCCGUAGAGCCUCAUAACGCCCCGCGGAGCCCUUAGAGACUCACAGACCCCCACAGAGCCCAUGGCACCCCAUAGAGCUCCACUGCACCCCAUAGAGACUCACAGUGCCCCACAGCGGCCCACCUGUUGGCCGGCCCACAGCACGGGGUGGCUGAUGUUGCAGAGGAUGCGCCCACCUCCCGGAGACACCGAGCUGCAGUGCUGUGCCAGGGACCUGCGGUGGGGCUGUGGGGCACGGGGUGAGCUGUGGGGUGGGCUGGUGGGGGGGUGCGGGGGGCCGUGGGGUGGGGUCUGGGAGUGGGGGGUGGGUGGUGGGGUUUGGGGUCAGCUGAGCGGGGUUCGGCGUUCUGGGGACACAUGGGAUUCUCUGUGGUCUUGAGGGCAUCUGGAGGAACUCGGGGGACUUGAGGGCCUCUGGAUGGGGUUGGGGUCAACCAGAUGAGGUUUGUGGUCUUGAGGGCAUCUGAAACGGGUUUGGGGUGUGGGGACGUGCAGGAUUCUAUGGGAACUUGAGGAGAUUUGGUGUCUUGGGGACAUCUGUAGAGGGAUAUGGGGAUCUCGAGGGCAUCUGGAUGGAGUUUCAGGUGCCAUAAUGACAUCUAUGGGGUCUUGAGAACAUCUGGGAUGGGAUUUUGGGGUCCGGAGAGCAUCUGGAGGGGCUCUGGGGGGCCUGGGGGAAUGUGGGGCAGCCCCUGUGGGGCGGUGGUUCCCCUGCUCCCUGUGGGCACCUGCAGCGCGGUGGCCUUGCGGUAGGAGAGCGCCUUGGGGUGCUGCAGCUCCACAUGGGCCCCAUACGCGUCCUCCCCAACGUUGUGCACGGUGACGGUGACGGUGACCUCCUCGGUGACGCCCACCACCAGCUCCUCCAGCCUGGGGGGCGGCGGCAGUGGGUGCGGGGCGGGGAUGUGGGGUGCCCCCGUGUGAGGUGGGGCCGCGGGGGGGGGAACAUACCCUGAGAAGCUGAGGGCCACGCGGAGGUCGGGCACACACUGGUUGUCCUCACCGCAGUUCUUCUCAAAGGGCAGCUGGGGGUCGGGCAGAGGGCCUCCAUCCCAACCUCCCCGCGCGCCCCAACUGCUUCCGUUCUGCUCCAUCCCCCACAUCUCCAUCCCAUCCCUCCAUCCCCCACAUCUCCAUCCUGUCUCUCAAUCCACCCCAUGUUUCCAACCCAACUUUUACAUCCAUCCUGUCUGCAUCCAUCCCAGUGUCCAUUCCACCUUCAUCUGCUCCAUCCCUCCAUUCCCCUCAACGUUCCGUUCCAACUUUCCAUCUCAUCCCCCAUUCGCCCCAUAUCUCCUGCUCAAUUCCCAUCCCAUCUCAUCCACCCAUCCCAUCCCUCUAUCUACCCCAACUUUUCAUCCCAGUGACCACGCUCAGCUUUCCACCCAUUCCCAAUUCCCAUCCCAACUCCAUCCCAUCCCCUCCCAUCCCAUCCCUCAAUCCACCCCAAUUUCCAUCCCACCUUCUCCAUCUCAUCCCUCCAUCUAUCCCAAUUUCCAUCACACAUCUCUGUCCAUCCCAACCAUCUCCAUCCUCUCCAUCUGCAUCCCAACCUCUCCAUCCAUCCCAACGUCCAUCCCAAACUUCCAUUCCUUCUCCAUCCAUCCCAACCAUCUCCAUCCCAUCCACCCCAUCACCUCCAUCCCCACCCAUCCCUCCGGCCACUGCCCCCAUCCCAAUUCCCACCCCACGUUCUCCACCCGCCCCACGCACCCAUCCCAUCCCUCCGUCCCACCUUCUCCAGGCACCCCAACACCCACCGCAUCGCUCCAUCCCUCCCAAUGUUUCCUGAACAAUUUCCACCCCCCUUGCGCACCGCCGACCCCCGCCCCAUCUCUCACUCACCCCACGUUCCCACCCCCUCUCGCCCACCCCAGACCCGUACCGCGGCGGUGACGGCCCACUGUGUGUCGCGGCUGAGUGCCACACGCAGCCCCUGUGCAUGCUGCAGUGCGUCCCCAUACGCCUCGAAGGCCACCCGCAGCCCCACGGGGCUCAGCGUGUCCGCUGGACAGCCCUGGGGACCCACACAUAGCGCCCGUGGUGGCGGCGGCCGCGUGUGGGGCAGCUCUGCACCCCCAGCAGCUGCGCCCGCACCGCACGCACCAUCACUCUGAUGGGGAAGCUCUGGCACCGGCGCCCCUCGCCCACGUGCGUGGUCCCGUUGCUCCUGGCAACGCCCGGCGAGAAGACGGCGCGAGCGGCACGGCCGGGGUCCAACUCCAGCCGGUAGUGGAGGGUGGCCCCGAGGGAGCCUGGGGGGCGGCAGGAUGUAGCGCUGUGGGGCUCUGUGCGGUCUACGGGCCUCUAUGGGGCCUAGCGGAUUGGGUGGCAUCGGGGGGGGGGUUGGGAAGGUCCUAUGGGGCUCAGCGGGUUGUGAGGCCAUCUGGAAUGGGUUGGGGAGGGCCCAUGGGACAAAGGGUUCUGAGGGCACCUGGAGGGGCUGGGGAGGUCCCACAGGUGUCCGAUGGCUGGGGCAGAGCCCCACACCCCGUGCUCUCACCUAAGCUGUCACUGCUCUUCUUGGUGCCAACAAAGCAGACGUUGGCUGUGGACGCCGUCGCAGCCCCAGCGGUGCUCGGCUCCUCCUCUGCCCGGUGGCAGUCAAAGUCAGAUAUGGGGAUUUCCGGGGGAGUGAAGGUCACCGUCACCUCAACCUUCAGCAAGGAUGUAGAUGGCGCCGCGCUCAUCGUCCUCCAUGGGAGCACCCACGGCCACGUCAUGCAGUCCGUCCCCGUCGAUGUCCCCAAGGCGAGCAACGCUGGCCCCAAAGCGCCCCAGCGGGUGUCCGGCCUGACCCCGCAGCGUCUGAUGGCACUGCAGCGCACGGCCCUAUGGCAGGAAACACAUGGGGGGUGUGGGGAGAGGUGGGGGUCAGGUUGGGAUGGGAAUGCGGUUGGGAAUGGGGAUGGGGAUGGCAUGGGAUGGAGGUGGGGAUGGAGAUGGGGAUGGGAUGGGAUGGGAAUGCAGAUGGGAUGGUAUGAGGAUGGGAGGGGGAUGGGAUGGGAAUGGGAUGGGGUGGGAUGGGGAUGGGAAUGGGAAUGGAGUUGGGAUAGGGGUUGGACUGGGGUGGGUUUGCAGUUGAGUUCUUGAGGUGGGGUUGCACUGAGCACCGUGGGGCUGCACUGGGGGUCCAUACCUGCGGCAACACCAUGCAGACCUCCACACGCCCCCCGGAGCCGUCCCCAUAGAACAUGGGGACCCCCACCAGCAGCGCCGCGCCAUCCCCCGAACCCUCCAGAGCACAGAGCGCUGCCCCAAAGUAGGAGCCCACCUGCAGGUGACAGUGUCAGCCCCGGGGCUGCUCCCACCCCAUGCUGUGCCCCACACGUCCCCCUACCAUCACCUGCCGGCCCACGGCGUCAGAGCGCAGCUCCCACUUCCCCCCCCGCUGGAGCACGAAGAGGAGCAGGCGGCCCACGUGGCGGUACCGGGGAGCCCCCAGCACCAGGGCCCGGAGCCCCCCCAGGGACAGAGACUCAGUGGCGUAACCUGCGGGCAGCAUGGGCGGCGGGUUGGACCCACGGAGGGGGGGCAUGGGGACACCCAUAGCUCCGGGACCCCAAUGGAAACAUCACUGACCCCCACAGAGGCAGCUCUGUCUCCAUGAAGACCCCAUCAUCUCCUGGACCAGCACAACAGCCCCAAGACCCCCAUGAAGAACCUAAGACCCCCACAGAAACUCCACCAUCCCCAUGGGACCAUUCCCAUCCCAUCACCCCCAUGAGAAGCCCACUAUCUCCGUGACUCGAGUGGGGACACCCACCGAUUCCAAGACCCCCAUGGAUAGCCCACCACCCCCACGACCAUCUUGAGGACUCCCAAUAUCCCCAUGGGGACGCCCUUAACCAGAAGACCCGCAUGAGGCUGCCAAGACCCCCGUGGGGAUAACCACCAACCCAAAGACCCCCCCGAGGAGCGCAGGACCCCGAGGCUCUCACCCAAGUAGGCAUCGCUCACACCCCCCUCCCCUUCGGAUGCGUUGACGAAGGCGACCUUCCCGUCGGCCCCGUAGAUGAAGACCCCUCCGGCCCAAUCGUAGGCGCCCACUGCUCCCAGCACUGCGCCCUCCUGCAGCAGGGAGGUCGGGGAGGGGGGCUGAGGUGGGUGGGAUGGGGCCCUGGGGGUCUCAGGUGGGUUUAGGGGGCGUCUGGAGGCGGUUGGGGAGGUCCUGGGGAAUUCCGGUGCGUUUGGGGGCACCUGGUGGGUCUCUGUGGGUCUGUGGAGCUCUAUGGGUCUGUAUGGGUCUCUAUGGGCUACUGCGGGGCCUAUGGGGUGCUGUGGGUUCUACGGGGUCUGUGAGGCUCUACGGGGCUCCGUGGGCUCUAUGGAUCUCUACGGCGUCUAUGGGGCUCCGUGGGGCUCCGGUGGGUUCUCGGGCGGAUCCGUGCGGUGGCAGUGGGGACACUCACGGGGGUGAGAAGAGCGCUGAAGCCCUCCUGGGCCAUCUCCAGUUGGAAGGAGCUCCCGAAGGCCGGGCGGGUCCCUGGGGGCAGCAUGGGGUGAGGCGGGCCCCUGGCACCCCCCGUGGGGCCACCCUAUGGGGCCAUACCCUCGAUGGCGAAGAUCUUCUCCUGCAGCUGCUCCUGGAUCCCCCGCAGCGCCUCGAAGUUGUCCACGCGGAAGACGUGUGCCUGUGGGGGGGCCGAGGCGAUGGUCUGCAGCUCCGCGGCCGCCUGGGAGUCCUUGAAGGCGCUGCCCACCUGCGGGGGAACGUCCCCGUCACCCGCGCUGUCCCGCUGUCACACAGCUGUCCCCGCGCUCUCGAAGCCCUCGGCGCCCCCGGUGUUCUCGGCGUCCCACCCUCUUGGCGUCCCCAGCACUCGACAUCACGCUCGAUGUCCCCCGUGCCCUCGGCGUCACCCCAGCGUGAGGCGCCCCCGGCGCUCUGUUUGUCACCUCCGUGUCCCCACGGCCUCAGUCUCACCCGGCUGUCCCCCGCCGUUCCCGGCGCCCCCGCGCUCCCGAUGUCACCUAAUGUCCGCGCCCCCGGCGUGCGCGGCGCUCUCCGUGUCACCUCGCUGUGCCCAGCGCUCCUGGCGCCACCGCAGUGCACCCCGCGCUCCGUGUCCCCAGCACGGUGUCCCCACCGUUCUCUCCGUCCUACACUCCGGGCGGCACCUCCACGUCCCCCACGCUCUCGCUGUCCCCUCGGUGUCCCCGCUGUCUCAGUGUAACCCCACGUCCCCCACGCUCUCGCUGUCCCCCUGACGUCCCUCGGGUGCCCCCAUGGCUAUUGGUGCCCCCGGUGUUCUUGGGGAGGAUUUGGGUUGAAUUUGGGGUUUGGGGAUUGGAGUUG
rnacentral:lncRNA from 1 species